ensembl:antisense Gm15418 predicted gene 15418
GGUCAUCGGUGUGUAAGGACCAUCACUGGGAUGUGAUGAUCGCAUAGCGACCGCCCUAAGUUCCCAACCGCAUCCGCAAGCGUCCAGGUACACGCUGUGCCAAACUUGCCCGCAGCAACAAGCCAAGGGAAUCGCGUGGGAAAAUGGAAAACAGGCCUGCACGCCUCCGCGGGAAGUUGAUGAUCAGCAGGAACCGAAUCUCCGAAGUCACCCGCAACCCCGCUCAGACUGGCAGUCUAAAAAAGCUACCCAGCAAAUGGAAGAAUGGAGCCUAUCACCUCGGAUCACCUUUGAAAAUCAUCCGGGUCAUCUGCCCUCUCAGAACAGACUCCUAUUUGGAGAGAAGGGACCUGGAAGUCCUGAGACAUUGCUGGAAACCAUCAAGCUAAAGUAACUCUCAGCCCAGGGAGGAGGCCACAUCCCUACAACAGGGAAUUAGAGAUGCCUGUGUGGCUGGGUGAGACCUGAAGGGCCCCUCAAGCUGCAGGGACAUAAAGAACCCUGAAAUGCCAAAUUUUAGGUAUACAUCUCAGGUGUGCUCACAGAACAGGAACUUUGUGAAGACAAAUGCCCAUGGAGAAAAGAAUGAGACACACAGUUUCCCUGGGCCUGUGUCUUCAACCAAGUCAAGACCAGCAUAGACGCCAUUCCAAAAGUA